GAAGAUGAGUUGGGUGGAAAUAGGGAUAGAUUCUACUCAAACUCCAUAUGGGUAUUACCCAAAAUAGAGUAUGAAAUCAAAUGGAUGGUAAAGGGAAAGGUUAUGGUGUUGGUCUUACAAGGUCAAGAAAAGGUCUUACAAGGUCAAGAAGACUCCAUUUCAAAAGCUUAAAAAAAGAAACGGAAACAAGAAAAAAAUAAGAAAAAAAGAAAAACGAAACGUAUAAAAAGCUCAGUUAGGAUAGUGCCAUGGCUAGUAAGA
rnacentral:lncRNA from 1 species